GAUGAGCCGAAGUCGGAUUAGCUAGUUGGUAGGGUAACGGCCUACCAAGGCGACAAUCCGUAGCUGGUCUGAGAGGACGACCAGCCACACUGGGACUGAGACACGGCCCAGACUCCUACGGGAGGCAGCAGUGGGGAAUAUUGGACAAUGGGGGCAACCCUGAUCCAGCGACGCCGCGUGUGUGAAGAAGGCCUGCGGGUUGUAAAGCACUUUUAGUGGGGAUGAAAAGCCUAGAGUUAAUACCUCUGGGUCUUGACCUAACCCACAGAAAAAGCACCGGCUAACUCUGUGCCAGCAGCCGCGGUAAUACAGAGGGUGCAAGCGUUAAUCGGAAUUACUGGGCGUAAAGCGUGCGUAGACGGUUGCGUAAGUCAGAUGUGAAAGCCCCGGGCUCAACCUGGGAAUUGCAUUUGAGACUGCGUAGCUAGGGUGCGGAAGAGGGAAGCGGAAUUUCCGGUGUAGCGGUGAAAUGCGUAGAUAUCGGAAGG
rnacentral:rRNA from 1 species